CACAGGAUGCUAAUCUCAUUACUUCUCUCUUUAGUGACACAGGCCUGAAUGCACAAAAGGAGGAAAGGUCCAUCCAUACCAGAUGGUCUAUUGUGGGACAAGAUGACAAAGGACUCUGUUGUUCUUUUCUCCCCAUCACUUUAAGACAUUGUUAAAGUUCUGUGAAAAGUGAUCACCAGAAUAGGAUUUGGCUUAAGGAGAGGACAAGAAACAGCAAAGGCAAGUUUGGAUGGUCUAACAGUCUUCAGAGAUACUCAAAAGAACAUGACCACGUACUGGCUCCUUGAUGAAGUUUGGCUGACCAUG